AUGCAAGUCGAACGGCAGCACAGGAGAGCUUGCUCUCUGGGUGGCGAGUGGGGACGGGUGAGGAAUGCAUCGGAAUCUACUCUUUCGUGGGGGAUAACGUAGGGAAACUUACGCUAAUACCGCAUACGACCUACGGGUGAAAGCCGGGGACCUUCGGGCCUGGCGCGAAUGAAUGAGCCGAUGCCCGAUUAGCUAGUUGGCGGGGUAAGAGCCCACCAAGGCGACGAUCGGUAGCUGGUCUGAGAGGAUGAUCAGCCACACUGGAACUGAGACACGGUCCAGACUCCUACGGGAGGCAGCAGUGGGGAAUAUUGGACAAUGGGCGCAAGCCUGAUCCAGCCAUACCGCGUGGGUGAAGAAGGCCUUCGGGUUGUAAAGCCCUUUUGUUGGGAAAGAAAAGCAAUCGGUUAAUACCCGGUUUGUUCUGACGGUACCCAAAGAA
rnacentral:rRNA from 1 species